GAUGGCAGUGACGAUUUGCAAAUAUUCAAGCUCAACAGACCAAAUCACAGGUCUUCUCUUUGUUUUGAGUUGAUUUGUAUGCCGAUUAUCCCGCUGAACCGAGCCAUC